CCUACGGGUGGCAGCAGUGAGGAAUAUUGGUCAAUGGACGAGAGUCUGAACCAGCCAAGUAGCGUGAAGGAUGACUGCCCUAUGGGUUGUAAACUUCUUUUAUAAAGGAAUAAAACGAGGCACGUGUGCCUUUUUGCAUGUACUUUAUUAAUAAGGAUCGGCUAACUCCGUGCCAGCAGCCGCGGUAACACGGAGGAUCCGAGCGUUAUCCGGAUUUAUUGGGUUUAAAGGGAGCGUAGAUGGGUUGUUAAGUCAGUUGUGAAAGUUUGCGGCUCAACCGUAAAAUUGCAAUUGAUACUGGCAGUCGUGAGUACAGUUGAGGUAGGCGGAAUUCGUGGUGUAGCGGUGAAAUGCUUAGAUAUCACGAAGAACCCCGAUUGCGAAGGCAGCUUACUAAACUGUGACUGACAUUGAUGCUCGAAAGUGUGGGUAUCAAACAGGAUUAGAUACCCGAGUAGUC
rnacentral:rRNA from 1 species